GAGUGUGUGGUGACAUAGACGUUAGCGUCACGGCCGUGAGAACUCGUCGGUGUACUUUGAUGAUGAAGCACGACGUGUCGUUGUUCAGGAGUCCGUUGGGUUGCUGCGUCCUUUGCAACCGUUCCACGUGUUGCUGCAUCUCCGUCUGCAGCGCCGCGAUCUCUGCACGCUGACACCUAAUCCACACACCACACACCCUCAGCCACACAUCCUCUCGUGAUCGAUCGCUGGUUAUCAAUAUGCCACGAUUCGAGGAGGGACAAUUUUUUUCACAUUUCGAGAUGCAACACCUAGUCUAAUAUCAUGUUUCGGCCAGUCAAUUAAUUUUGAAUAAAUUUUAGAUAAUCAACUGCAUUCUAAAAUACAAAAAUUAUAUUUUUUUCACUACCAUGCAAAGCGAGAACAAAUGUAUCAUCAUUAGUGUUCGUGAUUGCAGUCGAAGCUGAAACAUUAGCUGAAAUAAUGUGAAAUUAGAAAAAGAAUUUAAUAAUUUUAUGCGCAAAGCGAAUAUAUAUUAAUAGACAUGUCAGCAAAAAAUCAAAAGAAAUAAAUAUAUAAUAAUUUUCAUUAUGCAUGUAUUAUAUAUAUUAACUUAUUUCAAUUUAGAUAAUAAUAUAAAAAGUAUAUAAAUUUAUAAUAUAUUAUAUAUCAUUGCUUUGCCUUGAACAUUUAAGUUUGUUAUGUUUCAGGCAUAGAAUUAGGAAGAAAAAUCUAAUAAAUAAAUAAAUAACAACGUUUUCAUCGUAUAAAAUAUAUUGAUCAAAAGUAGUAUACAUUGAAAAUUAUACAGAAUCAUGUUGUUACAAUAUGCAAUCAAAACGACCGCUAAACGAUAAAAAGUUUAGUGUAAUGUAUUUCCUUUAUUUAUUCGGUAAAAUUUUAUAUUUUUACAUAGAUAAUAAUAUAUAAAAGCCAUAAUAAAAUUUGUUGUAUAAAAUAAUUUAAUUAUUGGAUUAAAUUAUUUGUUUCAUCGAUUUUAUUAUUUAUUGAUAAAAGAAAUGUCCAUAUAAAUUUUUAGUCGUUUUGGAUGCAAUUUAAAUAGAAAAUAUAAAAUAAAAUAUCAAAAGUGAACAAAAAAAUAAUAUAAAAGAAAAAUGACGCAUAGAAUUAUGCGAAAAGCUAUAAAUAUAAUUGUUUGCAGAUGUUACACAGUAACUCAUGCAGUAUCUAAAAACAUGCGUGUCAACUACUUCAUCAGUUUGAACAAAAGGAUAAAACAAAAACAAAAAUAUUCGAUAUAGUAAAUUUCACUUGAUUCUUAUUACACAUCGUACAAAUAUUAUUGCUUUCAUAUUAUACUAUGCGCUAAGAAAUAAUAAAAA